CCUACGUGAGGCAGCAGUGAGGAAUAUUGGUCAAUGGGAGAGAUCCUGAACCAGCCAAGCCGCGUGAGGGAAGACGGCCCUAUGGGUGGUAAACCUCUUUUGUCGGAGAACAAAACCCGGGACGUGUCCCGGACUGCGUGUAUCCGAAGAAAAAGCAUCCGCUAACUCCGUGCCAGCAGCCGCGGUAAUACGGGGGAAGCGAGCGUUAACCGGAUUUGGUGGGUUAAAAGGGUGAGUAGGGGGUCCGUUAAGUCAGCGGUAAAAGUGCGGGGCUAAACCCCGUCGUGCCGUUGAAACUGGCAGACUUGAGUUGGGGAGAGGGAGGCGGAAUGCGCGGUGUAGCGGUGAAAGGCGUAGAUAUCGCGAAGAACUCCGAUUGCGAAGGCAGCGUACCGGCGCCAGACUGACGCUGAGGCACGAAAGCGUGGGGAUCGAACAGGAUUAGAUACCCCUGUAGUG
rnacentral:rRNA from 1 species